GAUGAACGCUGGCGGCGUGCCUAAUACAUGCAAGUCGAGCGAACAGACGAGGAGCUUGCUCCUCUGACGUUAGCGGCGGACGGGUGAGUAACACGUGGAUAACCUACCUAUAAGACUGGGAUAACUUCGGGAAACCGGAGCUAAUACCGGAUAAUAUAUUGAACCGUAUGGUUCAAUAGUGAAAGACGGUUUUGCUGUCACUUAUAGAUGGAUCCGCGCCGCAUUAGCUAGUUGGUAAGGUAACGGCUUACCAAGGCAACGAUGCGUAGCCGACCUGAGAGGGUGAUCGGCCACACUGGAACUGAGACACGGUCCAGACUCCUAUGGGAGGCAGCAGUAGGGAAUCUUCCGCAAUGGGCGAAAGCCUGACGGAGCAACGCCGCGUGAGUGAUGAAGGUCUUCGGAUCGUAAAACUCUGUUAUUAGGGAAGAACAAAUGUGUAAGUAACUAUGCACGUCUUGACGGUACCUAAUCAGAAAGCCACGGCUAACUACGUG
rnacentral:rRNA from 1 species